rnacentral:rRNA from 1 species
GAACUUAGCAGAGAUGGCUUUUGGGUGCCUUCGGGAACUCUGAGACAGGUGCUGCAUGGCUGUCGUCAGCUCGUGUUGUGAAAUGUUGGGUUAAGUCCCGCAACGAGCGCAACCCUUAUCCUUUGUUGCCAGCGGUUAGGCCGGGAACUCAAAGGAGACUGCCAGUGAUAAACUGGAGGAAGGUGGGGAUGACGUCAAGUCAUCAUGGCCCUUACGAGUAGGGCUACACACGUGCUACAAUGGCGCAUACAAAGAGAAGCGACCUCGCGAGAGCAAGCGGACCUCAUAAAGUGCGUCGUAGUCCGGAUUGGAGUCUGCAACUCGACUCCAUGAAGUCGGAAUCGCUAGUAAUCGUGGAUCAGAAUGCCACGGUGAAUACGUUCCCGGGCCUUGUACACACCGCCCGUCACACCAUGGGAGUGGGUUGCAAAAGAAGUAGGUAGCUUAACCUUCGGGAGGGCGCUUACCACUUUGUGAUUCAUGACUGGGGUGAAGUCGUAACAAGGUAAGCGUAGUGCU